CCUAAAAUUUAACGGAUCUAAAUAAUAUACCGAGACCUUGUCCAUAAAUAUUUUUAUGUACAAGUUACAUAGAAUAUAUAUGGGGUAGCGGAACAUUGGGCAUAUCUCAGAUUUUUUCUUUUUAAGACUUAAGAUUAGAUUACCCAAGUGAUAAUGCUGACAUGAGUAACGAUAAAGGGUUUAUACCCUCGCCUAAAGCUUAUGGAAUUUACUUAAAGUAACGGCCUCUUAGUUUAAAUUUGCUUUACUUUACUGGGUUUUUUAGCUCUAAUUAAAAACGUGAUAAAGUAAAGUUACCUAAUGGUAUAAACGAUGAGAAAAAAAAAUUUUUUUUUUAGAAAAAAUCUAAGUUUUACGGUAAAUAAGAAUGGAUACUUAUGGAAACACAUUGAACGCGUAAAGUUGAAAAGUGUGUUUAAGUUUUCUCUAAAGAAAAAAAAUAUUUAGUGGGUUUUGACUAAACACACUAUAUAAAUAAAAACAGCAUUUGUGUUGGUAUACUAGAGCUAGGGUACCUGUUAAAAUAGUAACUGAAAGUAAGGUGAUAGUUACUAACUAAAGUGACAAAUGCUCUGGAAAAACGUAAAACUAGCAUGCUUAAUUAGAGUAUAGACGAGGCGGAUCGUCCCUUGUCUAUUAAAAAGCGAAA
rnacentral:rRNA from 1 species